rnacentral:rRNA from 1 species
UGGGGAAUAUUGGACAAUGGGCGCAAGCCUGAUCCAGCAAUGCCGCGUGUGUGAAGAAGGCCUGCGGGUUGUAAAGCACUUUCAGUGGGGAGGAAAGGGUUGUUGUUAAUACCAACAACAUUUGACGUUACCCACAGAAGAAGCACCGGCUAACUCUGUGCCAGCAGCCGCGGUAAUACAGAGGGUGCGAGCGUUAAUCGGAAUUACUGGGCGUAAAGGGUGCGUAGGUGGUUGAAUAAGUUGAGUGUGAAAGUCCCGGGCUUAACCUGGGGAUUGCACUCAAUACUGUUUAGCUAGAGUACUGUAGAGGAAGGUGGAAUUUCCGGUGUAGCGGUGAAAUGCGUAGAUAUCGGAAGGAACAUCAGUGGCGAAGGCGACUUUCUGGACAGAUACUGACACUGAGGCACGAAAGCGUGGGGAGCAAACAGGAUUAGAUACCCCGGUAGUCC